rnacentral:lncRNA from 1 species
UUGGUCAAAUUGCUCCUGAGAAAUCGAAUUUUAAAAAUACAAAAUUUUCAAAAGAUGAUUUCUCAGAAAACAUUUGACCGAUUUCACUCUAAUUGCAUAGUUUGCCUUUUAAAAUAAUGCAAAUAACUGUAUGCCUUACAAUUCAUAAGUUUUUUUACUAUAAUAUGAAAUAAUAAAAAGUACUAAAUACUCACUAAAAUUUAUUUUUUGCAUGGAAUUAUCUGUGUCUAAACGGAUUUUGUAAUUGCAUCCAAGAAUUUUUUAAUUUGCACAACAAUUUCUGUUCCUAUGGGAAAAUACACAAAAUGUAAAAUUAACAUUAAGGGUCCAAACUUUAAUGACCAUAUUUCGCAGAUAGCGAGAAAUAUUCCCCUUCAUUUUGGGGGGAAGUAAUUCAAAUUCGUCCUGUUAUGAUGUAUUAUUGUAAUUGUUGCUUAACCUGAUGGUAUUUCUUGAUUUUACACACUAAGUAACAAAAAUAUAUCGGACCUGGUUUUAUAUAUUUACUUAUAUAUUAUAUUCAAAACUUAUAUUUAAUUAGUCUGAACAAUUUCAGGAAGAUUUGUUCCUGACACUGCUGCACCUACUCAAUCACUUACAGCUAGAGAAUGGCUGAAUGGAAAAAACAGAAAUCCUAUUCUGAUAUCUAUGAAGUUGCCUGAGACUUGUAAGAAAUUAACUUGUCUUGUCAAAGAACUGCAAAAUAAAUUGCAAAUAAAAGAUGAAUGAAUCAAGGAACUGAACGAAAAACAUUGCCUUCUGCAGAGUAAUUUCUGCAAUGACAAUUGAAUUUUCAUAUAUAUAUUGUAUAUAAGUUGAUUUGACAUUUUUUGUGUAUAUUUAGUUUUAUUUUUUUUUUAUCCAAGUGAUAUUUACUCUAUUAGCAUUUUUAUUCUCUUGAGUUUUAUUUUUUUAGAAAGAGAAAUCUGAGUAAUGUCUUUUUGUUUUUCUUUCGAUUUCUCAUUUUUAUAAAGAAGCUCUAUUCUUGUAUCUGUUUUAGAAUCCUCAAGCGUAUAAAAAUGCUUUUGAGCCUUUUUGUAGUAAACUUUUCUUUUGCUUAAAAAAAUUGAAAAUUAAGCAAUGAUGUAAUCAUUUAUGUUAUUAAUUAAUAAGUAACUUUGUAAAUUGCCAGCUAUGAGCAUGUAGUCUAUUGUUACAGAAAGCAGAACUCUGAAAAUUGUUAGAUGAUUGUAUGUAAAAUUACUGAAUUUCUUACUCAGGAAUUUCAAAUCUAUUUUUUAUUAGCUUAAUAUUUUAAACUGAUGUUUUCACAGAUUAGUAACAUUAAAGUUAAUGUGUUAAAGUUAAUCAAUUGCAAAAUAAGUAAUUAAUGCUUAUUUUAUUAUUUAAAGCUCAUUAUCUAAACAUUCAUAAUAUGAAAAAACACAAACUUUAUAUUUUAAAAACAUUAAAGGCCUAGAUAAAUGCUUAAAACUAAUCAAAAUAUCAUUACUGCCAAUAAAUUGUUUUAAAAUGUAAUUUUAAAUUAGUUUUGUAGCAAAAUAAUGAUUCUGCAUUUUUAACAAAUAUUAGAACACAAAGUUAUGAAAUAAAUAUAUGAAUAACUGUAUAGUUACAUAGCGAUAUUUUAUAAUUAUGUAUUUAAUGUUACUGACUUUUUUUUUUGAAGAAAACAUGCCUGUAGCAAAACAAAACAUGUAGUGCACUCAAAAAGUAAAUAAUAAAAGUAACAAUCUGCUCAGAAUUUUUUUUUCUUAGCUAGUUUAAUAAUAGAAAAGUGUAUGUUUAUUUAUUAUAAUAAAAAUAUUUAAACAAUAUAAAAAUAUUAAUUCUGAAAGGUCAACAAUCCACUUUUAAGAAAAUCUGAAUCCAACAAAAGAGAAAGUUUAAGAAAUUAAACGCAUAGUUAAUGCUAAAGGGGAGGGGGGGGAUAUGUCACUUAUUGUUUGUUUAACUAGUCAUUUUCUGAUAAUAGUUUACUUAUUUUUAAACACCUAACUAAUUUGCUUAUAUUUUGACUUAGUUUUGUCUAUGAUAUUUGUACAAUCUAUUUUCUCAUAUUUUAAUGAAUUUCUCUAAAUUUAGUUGUAGCAUUAUUUUCCUUGAUUACUAUGUUUUAUAUAUAUA